AUUGAACGCUGGCGGCAUGCUUUACACAUGCAAGUCGAACGGCAGCGCGGGCUUCGGCCUGGCGGCGAGUGGCGAACGGGUGAGUAAUUCAUCGGAACGUGCCCAGUAGUGGGGGAUAGCCCGGCUAAAGCCGGAUUAAUACCGCAUACGACCUGAGGGUGAAAGCGGGGGACCGAAAGGCCUCGCGCUAUUGGAGCGGCCGAUGUCGGAUUAGCUAGUUGGUGGGGUAAAGGCUUACCAGGGCGACGAUCCGUAGCUGGUCUGAGAGGACGACCAGCCACACUGGGACUGAGACACGGCCCAGACUCCUACGGGAGGCAGCAGUGGGGAAUCUUGGACAAUGGGGGCAACCCUGAUCCAGCCAUGCCGCGUGCGGGAAGAAGGCCUUCGGGUUGUAAAACGCUUUUGUUCGGGAAGAAAUCCUCUGGGCUAAUACCCCGGGGGGAUGACGGUACCGGAAGAAUAAGCACCGGCUAACUACGUG
rnacentral:rRNA from 1 species